GGGUUGUGUGGUUCUCUAGGGAGCAUGUGCACACUUGUCACCUUUAUAUCUCCACCUGUGCACCUUUUGUAGACCUGGAUAUCUUUCUGAAUGCUUUUUAUAUAGCAUUUAGGUUUGGGGAUUGACUUUUUUUUGUCUUUCCUUACAUUUCCAGGCCUAUGUUUCUUCAUAUACCCCUCAUGCAUGUUAUGGAAUGUAAUAAAUGGGCCUUUGUGCCUAUAAAUCUAUACAACUUUCAGCAACGGAUCUCUUGGCUCUCGCAUCGAUGAAGAACGCAGCGAAAUGCGAUAAGUAAUGUGAAUUGCAGAAUUCAGUGAAUCAUCGAAUCUUUGAACGCACCUUGCGCUCCUUGGUAUUCCGAGGAGCAUGCCUGUUUGAGUGUCAUUAAUAUAUCAACCUCUUUAGCUUUUGCUUUCGAGUGUUUUGGAUGUGGGGGGUUAUCUUUUUUGCUGGUCUCUUUCUGAGGUCGGCUCCCCUGAAAUGCAUUAGCGGAACAAUUUGUUGAUCGUUCACUGGUGUGAUAACUAUCUACGCUACUGAGCGUGAAGCAGUGUUCAGCUUCUAACAGUCUA
rnacentral:rRNA from 1 species